rnacentral:rRNA from 1 species
CAGCUUGCUGGGUGGAUUAGUGGCGAACGGGUGAGUAACACGUGAGUAACCUGCCCUUAACUCUGGGAUAAGCCUGGGAAACUGGGUCUAAUACCGGAUAGGAGCGCCUACCGCAUGGUGGGUGUUGGAAAGAUUUAUCGGUUUUGGAUGGACUCGCGGCCUAUCAGCUUGUUGGUGAGGUAAUGGCUCACCAAGGCGACGACGGGUAGCCGGCCUGAGAGGGUGACCGGCCACACUGGGACUGAGACACGGCCCAGACUCCUACGGGAGGCAGCAGUGGGGAAUAUUGCACAAUGGGCGCAAGCCUGAUGCAGCGACGCCGCGUGAGGGAUGACGGCCUUCGGGUUGUAAACCUCUUUCAGUAGGGAAGAAGCGAAAGUGACGGUACCUGCAGAAGAAGCACCGGCUAACUACGUGCCAGCAGCCGCGGUAAUACGUAGGGUGCGAGCGUUAUCCGGAAUUAUUGGGCGUAAAGAGCUCGUAGGCGGUUUGUCGCGUCUGUCGUGAAAGUCCGGGGCUUAACCCCGGAUCUGCGGUGGGUACGGGCAGACUAGAGUGCAGUAGGGGAGACUGGAAUUCCUGGUGUAGCGGUGGAAUGCGCAGAUAUCAGGAGGAACACCGAUGGCGAAGGCAGGUCUCUGGGCUGUAACUGACGCUGAGGAGCGAAAGCAUGGGGAGCGAACAGGAUUAGAUACCCUGGUAGUCCAUGCCGUAAACGUUGGGCACUAGGUGUGGGGACCAUUCCACGGUUUCCGCGCCGCAGCUAACGCAUUAAGUGCCCCGCCUGGGGAGUACGGCCGCAAGGCUAAAACUCAAAGGAAUUGACGGGGGCCCGCACAAGCGGCGGAGCAUGCGGAUUAAUUCGAUGCAACGCGAAGAACCUUACCAAGGCUUGACAUGUUCUCGAUCGCCGUAGAGAUACGGUUUCCCCUUUGGGGCGGGUUCACAGGUGGUGCAUGGGUUGUCGUCAGCUCGUGUCGUGAGAUGUUGGGGUUAAGUCCCCGCAACGAGCGCAACCCUCGUUCCAUGUUGCCAGCACGUAAUGGUGGGGACUCAUGGGAGACUGCCGGGGUCAACUCGGAGGAAGGUGAGGACGACGUCAAAUCAUCAUGCCCCUUAUGUCUUGGGCUUCACGCAUGCUACAAUGGCCGGUACAAUGGGUUGCGAUACUGUGAGGUGGAGCUAAUCCCAAAAAGCCGGUCUCAGUUCGGAUUGGGGUCUGCAACUCGACCCCAUGAAGUCGGAGUCGCUAGUAAUCGCAGAUCAGCAACGCUGCGGUGAAUACGUUCCCGGGCCUUGUACACACCGCCCGUCAAGUCACGAAAGUUUGGUAACACCCGAAGCCGGUGGCCUAACCCU